rnacentral:tRNA from 1 species
ACUCUGUGAUUACAUCAGUAUAUUUGACUUCCAAUCAUAAGGUCUUGGCGAAAAUCCAAGACAGAGUA